rnacentral:rRNA from 1 species
CAAUAGCGUAUAUAACAAUAGCGUAUAUUAAAGUUGUUGCAGUUAAAAAGCUCGUAGUUGGAUUUCUGGAAGGAGCGACCGGUCGGGCAUUAAUUUGUCUGCACUGGAGUCGGUUCUGUCCAUCCUCUUGGAAAGUGUGUGGGGCAUUAAGUUGUCUGGCGUAUGAUCCAAGUCGUUUACUGUGGAAAAAUUAGAGUGUUUAAAGCAGGCCUUCGCCUUGAAUACAUUAGCAUGGAAUAAUAAGAUAGGACUUUGGUCUAUUUUGUUGGUUUGCAGACCGAAGUAAUGAUUAAUAGGGAUAGUUGGGGGUAUUUAUAUUCCGAUGUCAGAGGUGAAAUUCUUAGAUUUUCGGAAGAUAAACUUAUGCGAAANCANNNACCAAGGAUGUUUUCAUNAA